CGUCAGCGGCCGCUCGUCUCAUGUCUUCUUGCCUUGCAGCGGCGUCGGCUGCCGCUAGGCCUGGCAAUUCAGCCCAUGACCCGUUAACCGCCCAUUAACCGCCCGCUAAAAACCCAUUUAUUUCCGCCCAAUAACUUAACGUGUUAAUAAGCUGCCAACCCGUUAACAACCCGUUAGUUAACGGGCGGAAUCGGUUUGCACGACGGAACCCAUGGAGCCCAAUUAGAAAAAAAAAAAAAAAAAAACAGUCUAACACUCUAACCCUCACUUCUCUCGCUGACACUCUCCUCUUCUCCAUUUUAGCUGCUCGAACCCUCUAGGCCUCUACCCAUCUCUACGCCGCCGGCCGCCGCUGCCAAAGAGUUCGCCGACGGAACCCUCUACAGUCUACCC
rnacentral:lncRNA from 1 species